AUUGAACGCUGGCGGAAUGCUUUACACAUGCAAGUCGAACGGCAGCACGGACUUCGGUCUGGUGGCGAGUGGCGAACGGGUGAGUAAUGUAUCGGAACGUGCCCAGUCGUGGGGGAUAACGUAGUGAAAAUUACGCUAAUACCGCAUACGAUCUAUGGAUGAAAGCGGGGGAUCGCAAGACCUCGCGCGAUUGGAGCGGCCGAUAUCAGAUUAGGGAGUUGGUGGGGUAAAGGCCCACCAAGCCAACGAUCUGUAGCUGGUCUGGGAGGACGACCAGCCACACUGGAACUGAGACACGGUCCAGACUCCUACGGGAGGCAGCAGUGGGGAAUUUUGGACAAUGGGCGAAAGCCUGAUCCAGCCAUUCCGCGUGCAGGAUGAAGGCCCUCGGGUUGUAAACUGCUUUUGUACAGAACGAAAAGGUUUCUACUAAUACUAGGAGCUCAUGACGGUACUGUAAGAAUAAGCACCGGCUAACUACGUGCCAGCAGCCGCAGUAA
rnacentral:rRNA from 1 species